UUUAAGCGUGUAGGUGUGUGUUCCAGGUAAAUCCGGUUCACUUUAACACUGAGGCGUGACGACGAGGCACUACGGUGCUGAAGCAACAAAUGCCCUGCUUCCAGGAAAAGCCUCUAAGCAUCAGGUAACAUCAAAUCGUACCCCAAACCGACACAGGUGGUCAGGUAGAGAAUACCAAGGCGCUUGAGAGAACUCGGGUGAAGGAACUAGGCAAAAUGGUGCCGUAACUUCGGGAGAAGGCACGCUGACACGUAGGUGAAGUGAUUUACUCAUGGAGCUGAAGUCAGUCGAAGAUACCAGCUGGCUGCAACUGUUUAUUAAAAACACAGCACUGUGCAAACACGAAAGUGGACGUAUACGGUGUGACGCCUGCCCGGUGCCGGAAGGUUAAUUGAUGGGGUCAGCGCAAGCGAAGCUCCUGAUCGAAGCCCCGGUAAACGGCGGCCGUAACUAUAACGGUCCUAAGGUAGCGAAAUUCCUUGUCGGGUAAGUUCCGACCUGCACGAAUGGCGUAAUGAUGGCCAGGCUGUCUCCACCCGAGACUCAGUGAAAUUGAACUCGCUGUGAAGAUGCAGUGUACCCGCGGCAAGACGGAAAGACCCCGUGAACCUUUACUAUAGCUUGACACUGAACAUUGAGCCUUGAUGUGUAGGAUAGGUGGGAGGCUUUGAAGUGUGGACGCCAGUCUGCAUGGAGCCGACCUUGAAAUACCACCCUUUAAUGUUUGAUGUUCUAACGUGGACCCGUUACCCGGGUUGCGGACAGUGUCUGGUGGGUAGUUUGACUGGGGCGGUCUCCUCCUAAAGAGUAACGGAGGAGCACGAAGGUUGGCUAAUCCUGGUCGGACAUCAGGAGGUUAGUGCAAUGGCAUAAGCCAGCUUGACUGCGAGCGUGACGGCGCGAGCAGGUGCGAAAGCAGGUCAUAGUGAUCCGGUGGUUCUGAAUGGAAGGGCCAUCGCUCAACGGAUAAAAGGUACUCCGGGGAUAACAGGCUGAUACCGCCCAAGAGUUCAUAUCGACGGCGGUGUUUGGCACCUCGAUGUCGGCUCAUCACAUCCUGGGGCUGAAGUAGGUCCCAAGGGUAUGGCUGUUCGCCAUUUAAAGUGGUACGCGAGCUGGGUUUAGAACGUCGUGAGACAGUUCGGUCCCUAUCUGCCGUGGGCGCUGGAGAACUGAGGGGGGCUGCUCCUAGUACGAGAGGACCGGAGUGGACGCAUCACUGGUGUUCGGGUUGUCAUGCCAAUGGCACUGCCCGGUAGCUAAAUGCGGAAGAGAUAAGUGCUGAAAGCAUCUAAGCACGAAACUUGCCCCGAG
rnacentral:rRNA from 1 species